UACGGAGGGUGCGAGCGUUGUCCGGAAUCAUUGGGCGUAAAGGGCGCGUAGGUGGCCACUUCAAGCGUGCGGUGAAAGUCGGGGGCUCAACCCCUGAUCGGCCGUGCGAACUGGGGAGCUUGAGCACUGUAGAGGCAGGCGGAAUUCCGGGUGUAGCGGUGGAAUGCGUAGAGAUCCGGAAGAACACCGGUGGCGAAGGCGGCCUGCUGGGCAGUUUUGCUGACACUGAGGCGCGAAAGCGUGGGGAGCAAACAGG
rnacentral:rRNA from 1 species